UUGUAAUAGAGAUCAAAGGUGGAAAGAAGAAAUCUUCUUCCGGUAGUAGCAAUAAUAAUAUUAACCAUAUUCAAUAUUUCAAUACGAUGGCAGUUUCAAGUUAGGGCAGUUUCAACCAUAUCGAAGCGUUCAUCCCAAUGAUGGCAUCGAAAAAUUUCAUUUCGCUGCUUACUCCAAGUGUUUGCGGACUGAAAUGAGUGCUAUGGAUGGGAAUAUAGGAUUUGUCUUUACAGUUGGGCAGUCCAAAAACUGGGGCAGGUGUAAAUCUGAGGCGGGUAGAAAAGGAUCCGGACCGGGGUGCCACGAAUCCCAGUGAAAUGCUUGCAGCACAUUAAAAAAGGAUCACACAGAAUUUCGUUAGUCGCGGGGUAGUUUUUGACCAAAAAGAUAAUGUUGUAUGCAAUUUUGGACCAAAAGGUGAACAGAUGGUAAAGGUAAACCAUUUACAGAACAAUAGGAAUUUG
rnacentral:lncRNA from 1 species